UUUAUCACUUGGUAUCUGAAGCA
rnacentral:miRNA from 1 species